UCGAUACAUCCAUUUUUAAUUUUACAAAAUGCUCCAAUUUCUUCUCUUUUAAUUCUUGUUCAAAUAGUUUCAUCCUUGCUUUGAUAUCAAAAUAAAAAAAAGAAGAAGUAUUUCUUUCACAUUUAUUACUCUGAUACUAAAAACAAGGAAGAGAAGAAUAAAAAUUCUUUAAUGAACCAUCUUUACUUCAAUAAGAAAAAUUUUAUAAAUUGAAUAUUCUUUAUAUAAGAAAGAAGG
rnacentral:lncRNA from 1 species